UCCGAUUUACACCGGCGGUCUCCUAUGAGUUCCCGACAUUACUCGCUGGCAACAUAGAACGAGGGUUGCGCUCGUUGGCGGACUUAACCGUACACCUCACGGCACGAGCUGACGACAGCCAUGCAACAAGUGUCUUCAUGUCCCCUUGUGAGGGAGGGCCCUAUCUCUAGAGCUUACAAUCGAUGUCAAACCUGGGUAAGGUUCUUCGGUUAGUAUCGAAUUAAUCCACAUGCUCCACCGCUUGUGCGGGUCCCCGUCAAUUCAUUUGAGUUUCAACCUUGCGGCCGUACUCCCCAGGCGGGAUGCUUAAUGCGUUAGCUGCGGCACAAGAGGGGUCGAUACCUCUUACGCCUAGCAUCCAUCGUUUAGGGCGUGGACUAC
rnacentral:misc_RNA from 1 species